UGGGGAAUUUUGGACAAUGGGCGAAAGCCUGAUCCAGCAAUGCCGCGUGUGUGAAGAAGGCCUUCGGGUUGUAAAGCACUUUUGUCCGGAAAGAAAUCCUUGGCUCUAAUACAGUCGGGGGAUGACGGUACCGGAAGAAUAAGCACCGGCUAACUACGUGCCAGCAGCCGCGGUAAUACGUAGGGUGCAAGCGUUAAUCGGAAUUACUGGGCGUAAAGCGUGCGCAGGCGGUUUGCUAAGACCGAUGUGAAAUCCCCGGGCUCAACCUGGGAACUGCAUUGGUGACUGGCAGGCUAGAGUAUGGCAGAGGGGGGUAGAAUUCCACGUGUAGCAGUGAAAUGCGUAGAGAUGUGGAGGAAUACCGAUGGCGAAGGCAGCCCCCUGGGCAAUACUGACGCUCAUGCACGAAAGCGUGGGGAGCAAACAGGAUUNGAUACCCUGGUAGUCACGCCCUAAACGAUGUCAACUAGUUGUUGGGGAUCAUUCCUUAGUAACGUAGCUAACGCGUGAAGUUGACCGCCUGGGGAGUACGGUCGCAAGAUU
rnacentral:rRNA from 1 species